CUGCAGCUAGUUAAGCUGACUGGCCUACCUCCUUGAUGGGGGCUCAGUGUGCAAUGGCUGCAAACAGCAGGCUCCCUGGUAGUGUGUGCAGUUCACUCCUUGUAUGUGUUGCUCUAAGGGACCUUGGAGACAUCA
ensembl:snoRNA SNORA70 Small nucleolar RNA SNORA70